rnacentral:rRNA from 1 species
AUUUGGGCUACACACGUGCUACAAUGGACAAUACAAAGGGCAGCGAAACCGUGAGGUCAAGCAAAUCCCAUAAAGUUGUUCUCAGUUCGGAUUGUAGUCUGCAACUCGACUACAUGAAGCUGGAAUCGCUAGUAAUCGUAGAUCAGCAUGCUACGGUGAAUACGUUCCCGGGUCUUGUACACACCGCCCGUCACACCACGAGAGUUUGUAACACCCGAAGCCGGUGGAGUAACCUUUUAGGAGCUAGCCGUCGAAGGUGGGACAAAUGAUUGGGGUGAAGUCGUAACAAGGUAGCCGUAUCGGAAGGUGCGGCUGGAUCACCUCCUUU